UACGUAGGGUGCGAGCGUUAAUCGGAAUUACUGGGCGUAAAGCGUGCGCAGGCGGUUCGUUGUGUCGGCGGUGAAAGCCCCGGGCUCAACCUGGGAAUGGCCGUUGAAACUGGCGAACUGGAGUGUGGCAGAGGGGGGUGGAAUUCCGCGUGUAGUAGUGAAAUGCGUAGAGAUGCGGAGGAACACCGAUGGCGAAGGCAGCCCCCUGGGCUGACACUGACGCUCAGGCACGAAAGCGUGGGGAGCAAACAGG
rnacentral:rRNA from 1 species